UAGGGAAUAUUGGUAAUGUGCGAAAGCGCGAACCAGCAACGCCGCGUGCACGAUGAAGGCCUUCGGGUCGUAAAGUGCUUUUAGAGAGGAUGAGGAAGGACAGUACUUUCUGAAUAAGCCUCGGCUAACUACGUGCCAGCAGCCGCGGUAAAACGUAGGAGGCAAGCGUUAUCCGGAUUUACUGGGCGUAAAGCGCAUGCAGGUGGUUUUGUAAGUUGGAUGUGAAAGCCCCUGGCUUAACUGGGAGAGGUCGUUCAAAACUACAAGACUUGAGAUUGGUAGAGGAAAAUGGAAUUCCGGGUGUAGUGGUGAAAUGCGUAGAUAUCCGGAGGAACACCAGUGGCGAAAGCGGUUUUCUGGACCAAUUCUGACACUCAGAUGCGAAAGCUAAGGUAGCAAACG
rnacentral:rRNA from 1 species